rnacentral:rRNA from 1 species
AAUUGUGGACUAGGGGCGCAAGCCUGAUCCAGCCUUGCCGCGCGAGUGAAGAAGGCCUUCGUGUUUUUAUGUUGUUUCUGACGGUGAGCAAUCGUGCAGGCAAAUACUUCGUCCGGAAAACUGUACCGUCAUAUGAAACACCGGCUAACUACGGCCUAGCAGCCGCGGUAAUACGUAGUGUGCGAGCGUUAAUCGGAAUUACUGGGCGUAAAGCGUGCGCAGGCGGUUGAUUAAGACAGGCGUGAAAUCCCCGGGCUUAACCUGGGAACUGCGCUUGUGACUGGUCAGCUAGAGUACGGCAGAGGGGGGUGGAAUUCCACGUGUAGCAGUGAAAUGCGUAGAGAUGUGGAGGAACACCGAUGGCGAAGGCAGCCCCCUGGGCCGAUACUGACGCUCAUGCACGAAAGCGUGGGUAGCAAACAGG